rnacentral:pre_miRNA from 14 species
CUGAGGAGCUGUUAACAUGCAAGCCAGGAUGGUGCCUGAGAUUCUGAAUUUCUAACAAGCUCCCAGGUGUUGCGGA